GCGUGACCAACCUGCCCCAUGCUCCAGAAUAGCUCUUGGAAACGGGUGGUAAUGCUGGAUGCUCCAACUUGACGCAUGUCUUGUUGGGAAAGUGUUUAGUGGCAUGGGAUGGGGUCGCGUCCUAUCAGCUUGUAGGCGGGGUAAUGGCCCACCUAGGCUUCGACGGGUAGCCGGCCUGAGAGGGCGGACGGCCACAUUGGGACUGAGAUACGGCCCAGACUCCUACGGGAGGCAGCAGGC
rnacentral:rRNA from 1 species